rnacentral:rRNA from 1 species
GACAGAGGGUGCAAACGUUGUUCGGAAUUACUGGGCGUAAAGCGAGUGUAGGCGGUCUCAAAAAGUCAGGUGUGAAAGGCCCUGGGCUCAACCCAGGAAGUGCACUUGAAACUGCGAGGCUAGAGUACUGGAGAGGUUGGUGGAAUUCUCGGUGUAAGAGGUGAAAUUCGUAGAUAUCGAGAGGAACACCGGUGGCGAAAGGCGGCCAACUGGACAGA